GAGGAAAGCAUAUUUCAAAUGUUAAUGAUAAAACAAUGAAGGCUGCUUUACCAAAAAGAAAGAAACUAUAACUUUUCAUGCAACAUUCAAAGCCGUUCCUGAAGGCCUUAGCCCAGCCAAUGAGGGGGUGAAGUGGAUAGGGGUACGUAUAAAUGUUACCCAUAAGAGAGAGAGGAGGGGGAAGAGAGAAAAGAAGGGUUGGGGGGUGUUAGGAGGGAGUCAAUUAAGAGGAUUAAUUACAUUGCUCCACUUUGAAUUUCCUACAAAU
rnacentral:misc_RNA from 1 species